AAUUCAAGUUUGAAGAUUGUCUAUUAUACUUAGGAGAAUAUUUUAUAUUCCAAAAGAGCUAUUAUACCUUUGUCUUCUUUGAACAUAUUAUGACUUUUUAGUUGCAAGAUAUUUUUAAUUCAAAAAGACAUUGAAAUUCACUUUUAGAAAUUUUUUGUAGCCUCAAAUGUAAAAAGAUUUCGAAGAAUUUUUCUUUUCUUACAAUACAUG
rnacentral:lncRNA from 1 species